AUACGGAGGGUGCAAGCGUUGUCCGGAUUUAUUGGGUUUAAAGGGUGUGUAGGCGGUGUAUUAAGUCAGUGGUGAAAGCCUGCGGCUCAACCGUAGAACUGCCAUUGAUACUGACACACUUGAGUAUGGACGAGGUAGGCGGAAUUUAUGGUGUAGCGGUGAAAUGCAUAGAUACCAUAAAGAACACCGAUAGCGAAGGCAGCUUACUAGGCCAUAUCUGACGCUGAGGCACGAAAGCGUGGGGAGCGAACAGGAUUAGAAACCCCAGUAGUCC
rnacentral:rRNA from 1 species